AAUAGAUACCCUGGUAGUCCACGCCGUAAACGAUGAGUGCUAAGUGUUAGAGGGUUUCCGCCCUUUAGUGCUGAAGUUAACGCAUUAAGCACUCCGCCUGGGGAGUACGGCCGCAAGGCUGAAACUCAAAGGAAUUGACGGGGGCCCGCACAAGCGGUGGAGCAUGUGGUUUAAUUCGAAGCAACGCGAAGAACCUUACCAGGUCUUGACAUCCUCUGACAACCCUAGAGAUAGGGCUUCUCCUUCGGGAGCAGAGUGACAGGUGGUGCAUGGUUGUCGUCAGCUCGUGUCGUGAGAUGUUGGGUUAAGUCCCGCAACGAGCGCAACCCUUAAUCUUAGUUGCCAUCAUUCAGUUGGGCACUCUAAGGUGACUGCCGGUGACAAACCGGAGGAAGGUGGGGAUGACGUCAAAUCAUCAUGCCCCUUAUGACCUGGGCUACACACGUGCUACAAUGGACGGUACAAAGAGCUGCAAGACCGCGAGGUGGAGCUAAUCUCAUAAAACCGUUCUCAGUUCGGA
rnacentral:rRNA from 1 species